rnacentral:rRNA from 1 species
AGAGUUUGAUCCUGGCUCAGGACGAACGCUGGCGGCGUGCUUAACACAUGCAAGUCGACGACGAUUAUGUAGCAAUAUGUAGUCGGAGUGGCGCACGGGUGCGUAACGCGUAUGCAAUCUACCCUCGGAUCGGGGACAACACUUCCAACGAGGUGCUAAUACCCGAUAAUGCAGCGGCAUCGCAUGAUGACAGUUGUUAAAGCUUUGGCGUCUGAGGAUGAGCAUGCGUCUGAUUAGCUAGUUGGUGGGGUAACGGCCCACCAAGGCUACGAUCAGUAGCUGGUCUGAGAGGAUGAUCAGCCACACUGGAACUGAGACACGGUCCAGACUCCUACGGGAGGCAGCAGUGAGGAAUAUUGCGCAAUGGACGAAAGUCUGACGCAGCAACGCCGCGUGCGGGAUGAAGGCCUUUUAGGUCGUAAACCGCUGUAGAAGGGAAAAAAUCUCCCGGUCGCCGGGAUUGAUGGUACCCUUAAAGUAAGCCUCGGCUAACUACGUGCCAGCAGCCGCGGUAAUACGUAGGAGGCGAGCGUUGUCCGGAUUCACUGGGUGUAAAGGGUCCGCAGGCGGGCAAAUAAGUCGGUGGUGAAAUCCUUCAGCUUAACUGAAGAACUGCCUCCGAUACUGUUUGCCUUGAGUACAGAAGAGGGCGAUGGAAUUCCAGGUGUAGCGGUGAAAUGCGUAGAUAUCUGGAAGAACACCGGUGGCGAAGGCUGUCGCCUGGUCUGUUACUGACGCUCAGGGACGAAAGCGUGGGUAGCAAACAGGAUUAGAUACCCUGUUAGUCCACGCUGUAAACGAUGGAUACUCGGUGUCGGCCCGUAUGGGUCGGUGCCUAAGCUGACGCAGUAAGUAUCCCACCUGGGGAGUACGAUCGCAAGGUUGAAACUCAAAGGAAUUGACGGGGGCCCGCACAAGCAGUGGAGCAUGUGGUUUAAUUCGAUCAACGCGGAGAACCUUACCUAGGCUCGAAAGACUGGAUUAUCCAUCGGUGAAAGUCGGUGGCGCCGCAAGGCAAUCCAGACAGGUGCUGCAUGGCUGUCGUCAGCUCGUGUCGUGAGAUGUUGGGUUAAGUCCCGCAACGAGCGCAACCCUUGUCCUUAGUUGCCAGCAGGUUAAGCUGGGCACUCUAAGGAGACUGCCUACGCAAGUAGUGAGGAAGGUGGGGAUGACGUCAAGUCCUCAUGGCCCUUACGUCUAGGGCUACACACGUGCUACAAUGACCACUACAGAGGGUAGCGAUACCGCGAGGUGGAGCAAAUCCCAAAGAAAGUGGCCUCAGUACAGAUUGGAGUCUGCAGCCCGACUCCAUGAAGUUGGAAUUGCUAGUAAUCGCGCAUCAGCUCGGCGCGGUGAAUACGUUCCCGGGCCUUGUACACACCGCCCGUCAAGCCAUGGAAGCUGGGGGUACCCGAAGUCGUCGCCUAACCGCAAGGAUGGAGGCGCCUAAGGUAAACUCAGUGACUGGGGCUAAGUCGUAACAAGGUA